GGGGGAGCUUUUCAAGUUUAAGAACAGUAUUUCCAAGAAGAUGGGUAAUGAAUAGAGAGGAGGCUGACUGCAGAGAGAGGCCUCUGUGUGUGAGCCGUCAGGAGGUCAGGUGGUUAUCAUUGGAAUGACGCCACCUCACCGUCCCUGCCUCGUUCUCCCUUAGCAGGCCUUUGUCAGCAUCUUUGCUGGUUAGCAUGACUGCCAGAGAGCACAUGGAAGAACCCCUGAAAAGCAACGUUCCUCAUGGGACAAUGAGCAGAAAAUGAUCACGUGUUGAGAUGAUUAGAAAAGGACUAGCAGGGAAAGACUUUUCUGAGGCCCUAAAAUCCAGGAAUGUACAGGAGCCUCCCGUCUCUUGGAGUUGGUACGCCUCCCAUCCGGCAUCCUGUUCCCCACACUUGCGUUUUCUGGCCCAGCCAUGCCCAUUCUGUCGCAGCCUGGGGAUGAAGAGCUCCCAGGUGGCAGAAGGCAAUUAAAAAGUAAGGAGCUGGCCGGGCAAGGUCACAGCAAAGGGAGGUAAGAGAUGGAAUCUUACCAAGGCUCAGUGUGUGGCACUCGGAAGAUUCCGGUGCUGCACGUGAGUGAUGAACUUGGGGUAAGAGAAGCCCAAGCGAGCGGCCCAGACGCAGAGGAGCCUGAGGGGCUCGGGGUCCUCACCCCUCCGCUUCCUGUCCGUCACAGGCUGAGUCCUUCCCCAAGGAAAUGGCGAAUUAGAACAGGAUGUGUGUAACCCCCAAGGGAAUGUGAAACAAAAGCAAAACAAGAAAAGAAACUUCCCUUCAUGUGCCCUUCACCAAAAGGGCAUUCAUUCUGAGAAGCAGAGAGAGUUCGCUUAAAAUGGCGUUUCCUUGGCCUGUGAGAGGGAGCUAGUCAGUGAAUUCUCAGAAGCAAUGACAAAGGAAGAGUCUUGGGAUUAUGACAAUUUGUAGGUAUCCUUGAUAUUAAUCAUGAAAGGAAGUGCUGACCAUUAGAAAAUUCCCAUGAAUAGGUUAUACGGGGACAGAGGGGAGAACGGCACUAAUUUUUUUUAAAGGAGCGGCACACCUCUCCUCUGCACUCCACCCCUCCCUGCCCCCCACAAAAAAAUGCAGCCUGUGGAUCUUAAGCCUUCUGAAACACAUUCAACUAUUAGGCAUUUAAGGAGAUGUGCCUAGGACUGUGCUAGGUGUUUCUUUUCAUGGCCGUUAAGAGGAGGCUUUUUUCAUUAAGCAAAGUCAUCACAUUGGGAAUGGAGCUGGCAGGGUCAGGAGUGGUUUUCAGGCCCCUCAAGCUUAAUGAGGAUUUUUGUCCCAAUCCUCGAUCUGAAACAGGAGAACUGCCUUUGUGAACAUUCCACAAGUGGGCAUCUCAGAAGGUGAGGGCAUCCUGACUAUGGGAGAAGUCAUGGGGCUUUCAGACAACUUGCAGUCCAUUGCAGGCCCAAGCCUGAUACUCUAGGAGAACUAGACUCGGAUAGGCUGGGGGACUGCUUUGCAAGUGCCAAGUUUCCUGCAACUUAUGAUUUGGAAUAAGGAGUAGAGGCAGCCCCAGAGCAAAAUGAGCUGAGUCGGGAAAGGGGGAAAUAGAUUCAGAAUGUAAAAAACAAGAUUCUUUGAUGGGCUGAGGAACUGACACAAGGAAAAUGUAAUGCAUUAUUGACAAACACGUAUGCUGGCUGCAAAAAUAAUUAACACAAGCAGAAAAGAAAUAGGAAUGAAAUGGAGCAGAAAGACUUUGAAAGAUUGUGAAGUGGCUGCUGAAACUGCCAAGCUAAUGUCAGAGAGAUGAUUAAAAUUUUCCAAUAGAACAGGUGACUAGGUAGUUAGGAAAGUAGAAUGAGAGACAGUGGCUCAUUCUAUGAAUCUACACUGAGGUACUAAUCAGCAUUUUAUGUGAAACUUUGUAGUGCACAUUUCAGCAGAUGGAGGAAGCUCUAAAAAGCUGCUAGCUAAACCAAGUCUGCCUGCCUUUCUGUUCCAUAAUAACCAUCCUUGCCCAAGUGAGCACUGCAGGAACAGUUCACCAAAUAGAAUUCCAGACAUAUCAGUAUGCUCACAAAGACAAGAUAUCUGCAAAACACCAGGACCAAGGGGAGGAAGGGGAAGCAGUGGGAGGUUUCAGUCUUCCUAAGUAGAGGUGCCUGGAUGAACAGGCUCUAAACAGGUAAGCUGGAGGCUCAGUAAUCAGAACUCAAAGUGAAGAUCAAGUAGCAACAAGGAGAGAUUCAUCUGCAGGCCAAACUCUAUGCAUGCUCGCAGACACACACACACAUCCGUGAAACUGUAUUGCUGCCAUAACAAAAACAAUUAGAUGGUGGAUUGUGGGUAUGUUAAAAGGGAAUAAUUCUUCAUGAUCAGAGUGACUUUUUUGCUCAUUCAACAGAAAAAAGACUCUUAUUUUUUAUUUGUUGGCAAAGUCAAAUUAGAAAAAAUAUAUAUCUUUACGACCAUAGGAGACAAAUGAAUGAUACCAAAUAUCACUAAAAAUGCUAUUAAUCUACAGUGAUAUAAAAUUACCAUCUCAGCACAAAGAAAGCCUAUAUAAUCUGAAUUUCUCUAGCAUCAUAAAAACGAAUGAGAAGCGAAAUUGAGAGUAAGUAUGCUUUUGAGAUGCUGUUAAGAGUUACAUGCAUUGUUAACAAAUGUGGCUGGGCACACUGGUGAUUUACCUUGAGAAACAAAUCUAUAAAGGCCCAGAAAAUUUCCAGAUGAUACCAACGCAUUGCCCUUCUCACUGGCUGAUGACACCUUUGAUGGUGUCAUUCUCCUUUCUUAGAUAUUUAAGUGUGGCUGACUAGCCAUUGACUUUGGGGAUUAUUUCCCCUUGUUUUCAUUUGCCCAUUUUCUGCACACUUCCAAAGCCAAAAGUAGCUUAGGGUGGGGGUGAGGGUGCGGCAAGGAAGAGAAUACAAGUCAAGCUUCUGCUUCAGGUACCAGAGGGACCCCAGGGACCCUUCCCCCUCCCCUGCAUGGCCAGUAAGGAACAGGAAGCCCUGUUGGCUCGAUCGAUCGAUUACUGGGGCAACCCUCCUCAAACCCAAACAAGGCCAUCUCUCUGUUAUUCUUCCACUGUGGCUUGCCCAGUCUGGGGGAGUGGCAUAUUAGCUCAAUUCAAGGAUGUUUCACCAGCCUCUGGAUGAGCUGGAAGAGGGUAAUAGCCAGGUCAAAAUCCAACAGGAAGUAGAGGACAUUGGCUUUGGGCUGUUGAUGGGGUGGGAGGCUAAUGAGGAAAUGGCAGAGGAAGAGUUAAGGUAAAAAGACAGAGAAAUGGGACUAGGAGGGAAAUAAGUGUUUCCGCUUCUUCCAUAUAUAAAAAAAAGAAAAAGAAAAAGAAAAAACACCAGCACCACCAUGAGCAACAACAGCACUUUGGGGAAAUUUAGCAAGGGACAUUUGACAGUUUUUCAACUGGUCUCAAGGGUGGUGUGGGAAGAGCAAAUUAAGGUGGUAAAAUAAAGCCUUAUCAAGAUGCUACCUGGAACCUCAGUUUGCCGCCCACCAGGGAAUAUGCAAGGAGUGAGAGCAAUGGCUUUUUCCUUUUUGUUGGCCCCCCUCUUCUGCAAACGUUUUAACAUCUAUGUUGUAAUACUUCUUUGCAGGAGGGACAUCCUUGUGACAUGAGGAGGAGCUCUUAUUUAGAAUCCCAUUUUAUUAACAGGAAAAUGUCACAGAGCAUUACAGUCUCCUGCCCAGGGACACGUAAUUAAAACAAAGUUUAUCAGAAAUAGAAUUAUGUCCCACUCCAGUCCAUUGUUCUUUCCGUGAAACUGAGCUAGACACUGAUUCCUAACACUCUUGUCAGCAGAGAUAUCCCCUGAGAACACAGGGGGUGUGGGCAUGCCUUUUGCAUCCCAGCGGAAGUUCCAGGAACAGAUCCUCAUUUGUGGCACCUGAAGCUUAAAAUUUUCACUCUUUAAGAAAAAGAAUUAUAACAGAUGAAUGCAAAAUCAAGUAUGAACAAGAAAAUUAAUUUGAAUGAGUAAAGAAAUAGCAUCAAAUCAGAGAUUUUAUAAAACUGGAAAAUAUCUCAAAUUUCCAAAAAUUCAAGAAAAAUAACACUAUAUUUUUUAUUAACUGUCUGAUAUAGUUCUGUAAUGCUGGUUCCCCUACAUUUUUUGCCUUCAUACUCUUUGAUUGCCUCUUGCUAUGAUAAUGAUAUUUCCUAGAAAGAAGAUAGACAGGUAGUUUGAUCUUUCCUCUAGCACGGUUGAUCAAAAUCCAUUUAUUACUGAUGGUUUCAAAAUAUGACAUUUUGCUUCAGCCUUUAUUGGCAAGGCAACACCUAUAAAGUCCUUCAGCAGUUUCUUGCUUGAGAGGUGUUUCUUAGCUGAGGCCACAGCUUUGGGAGACUGUAGCCAUCUGAUGGAGCUGAGAGCCUCUCCCUCCCACCCACUGCCCCCAGGCUUAGGUCCUCACCUUCUUCCUCCCCAGACCCUACCUGGAGAAAAGGGGCAGGACUGCCAGGUGCCGUGACCGUGAAGCCCAGAUCAAAGUGGUAAUGAGCUGACUCCAGUUCAAAUACUUUCUCAUUGAAAGCAGAGAGAGGUCUGCCCGCCAGAAGAAGCUGUCAUUAGGGGCCAGGCCAAUGGAAAGGUUGUAUUCAGCCGUCAGCCCAGCCAGCAGCCCCAGAACUACUGCAGGCCAGGGCAGUGACACCGAAGUUCUUUGUCUUCUAGCUCAGGUGACUACCUUCUCCUGUGGGCAGGAGCUUUGGAAAAGACCUUGACUUUUCGACUUCUCCAGCUACGAUGUGAAUUUGCCUCUAGUGAGCCCUGGCCACAGUGUGAAAUAGAAGCCUUGUUUUCAGAACCUCACUUUCUCCUGGAAGCAUUUCCUGUUUUUGGAAUCUAACUGCAUUGGAAAGUCAUAGAUAAGGCAUUUACAGUAUUAAGUGCUGAAGCUUAGAAGAACUUUUCUAACCUAUUGAUCAAUAAACUAUCAAAUCUUGAUUAAUCUUAUUAGAGGAAAGACUAAAUUAUUGUUCUCUCUAUAGUAAAUAUUGCAAAAUUGCAAUCUGAAGAGUGAAUCAGAGUAUCCAG
rnacentral:lncRNA from 1 species